CAAUUUAGAGGUAUAAAUGAUCCAAUUUGAUGUUGAAUAGGUAAGGGUGAACUUUGUUACAAAAAAGGUGUCUUGAACAUUUUUUGUCAUAGACGUCAGUUAUAAAAAGCAUAAAUACAAAAUUCUUUUUUGAUUGAAAGAAAGAAGGAGGACGACAAUCAUUAAACAGUUUCAUGAUUUGCCACCGAAAAUUUUUUCAUUUGUAGAAGAGACUCAGAAUCCACUGGACCUCCAGGAUACUCUAGAAACUCUUCAAUAAAUUCAAGAUCAGGGUUCAGGUCUGGAACCCCUGGCACCAGCCCACUGUGCUCCCCACACACAUCUCCUCUGCUCCCCCGACCCGGCAGGGCGGGUCAUAACAGAACCGGUUCUACUUCAAACUCAGGUUUCAGAGGAGUUGACGUCAUCAGAUGUACUAAACCUGGAUACCCUCCUCCUUCCCCUGGUGGAGAUAGAAGACGACUUAUCUCUCUCACAGAGCAAUUACAGAACAGACUAGACGAUCAAUCACAGAAUGAAACUGAAAACAUAUCAUUAGUUGAUCAAAGUUAAUUAAAAUGUAAAUAAAAUAUUAUCUAAUUGU